AUGGCUUCGUCUUGUGAUUCUUCUCCAACAAUGAUCAUCAUCCGCCGACGCCAGGUGGUGUCGCCGGAAGACUUGUACGCCCGCCAGAUGCUCGACAGAACGCUUCAGUGGAGAAAGGGCGAAAAAAACCAGUGGACACCGAGCGGCCCUGAUGGCCUCAGCGCCCUCCCGGACGACGCCAUCCGCCACGUGAUCGGCUUCCUGCCGGCGCGAGACGCCGUGCAGACGAGCGCGCUCGCCCUGGGCUGGCGCGACCAUUGGACGUCCAUGCACAGCCUCCUCUUUACACCGGUUGCCGGGUCGGUGACCGUCGCUGGGCUGAAGAGGCUAGUAGGCCGCCUGUUGCUCGAUCUACGAGCGCCUCUUGAUGAAUGUGUUAUCGAUGUCAAAGGAUUCUGGCAACUCCACAGCGAAUUCAACAGCCUGAUUCGGCAUGCCGUGUCCGAGUGCCAGGUUCGAACUCUCACAGUCAGUCUGGUAGACACGCACAGAACAAUAUAUGGGCAGCCUCUCGUUUCCACGCACUUGGCAAGAUUGGAGCUUCGCCAUGUAACAAUGCCAGCAGAAUGUACGGUUCUUGAUUUUUCAAGCUGCACGGCGCUGGAGGAUCUUGUGAUUUCUUGCUCUCAGAUCUAUGCUAACAAGCUCUCGUCCCCAUCCUUGAAGCGUCUCAAGAUUGAGGAAUGCUGGUUGUUUCCAAAGGGCUCCCCAACUUGUAUUUCUGCCCCCAAUAUUGUUUCACUGAAACUGGAUGAUAUCCGUAUUACAACUCCUCGCCUUGAGCGCAUGCCAUUGCUAGAAACUGCAAGUGUCAGGCUUGGCGGCAGCUGGCCUUUGAACUGUAAACAUCGUGUUGCCCGGCGCUGUUGCGGUGUAUGCGAGGGUUGCAUAGAAUUCCACUUAAUGGAGCUCCGAAGUUUCUCGAGUGCUACGCAUCUGGAGUUAACAGCUCCCAAUGUGAAGUUUACUGUUUUGAGAUGCCCAACAUUUAGCAAGUUAAAGAGUCUGUCGCUAAAUGACUGGUGUGUGACAGAUGACUUAUCUGCAUUAAUUCGCAUUCUUGAGCACUCUCCAGUUCUAGAGAAGCUCACUCUUCAACUAAAUGAGGGAUCACAGGAAAGUUACAAUGCAGUGGAGCAACUGCGCACAAUAUCUCGAUGCCUUAAAGUAGUUGAAAUCAAAUGUAUGAUGGUUGAUAACAGACGAAAUUUUGAAGAUAUUCAGUCCGUUUGA
rnacentral:rRNA from 1 species